rnacentral:rRNA from 1 species
AGAGUUUGAUCAUGGCUCAGGACGAACGCUGGCGGCGUGCCUAAUACAUGCAAGUCGAACGAACCGCGACUAGGUGCUUGCACUUGGUCAAGGUGAGUGGCGAACGGGUGAGUAACACGUGGGUAACCUACCUCAUAGUGGGGGAUAACAGUCGGAAACGACUGCUAAUACCGCAUAGGACAUAGGAUCACAUGAUCCAGUGAGGAGAGGUGGCGCAAGCUAUCGCUAAGAGAUGGACCCGCGGUGCAUUAGCUAGUUGGUAGGGUAAAGGCCUACCAAGGCGAUGAUGCAUAGCCGACCUGAGAGGGUGAUCGGCCACAUUGGGACUGAGACACGGCCCAAACUCCUACGGGAGGCAGCAGUAGGGAAUCUUCCGCAAUGGACGCAAGUCUGACGGAGCAACGCCGCGUGAGUGAAGAAGGUCUUCGGAUCGUAAAGCUCUGUUGUUAGAGAAGAACAGCGCAUAGAGUAACUGUUAUGCGUGUGACGGUAUCUAACCAGAAAGCCACGGCUAACUACGUGCCAGCAGCCGCGGUAAUACGUAGGUGGCGAGCGUUGUCCGGAUUUAUUGGGCGUGAAGGGAGUGUAGGCGGUCUUUUAAGUCUGAUGUGAAAGCCCACGGCUCAACCGUGGAGGGUCAUUGGAAACUGGGAGACUUGAGUGCAGAAGAGGAGAGCGGAAUUCCAUGUGUAGCGGUGAAAUGCGUAGAUAUAUGGAGGAACACCAGUGGCGAAGGCGGCUCUCUGGUCUGUAACUGACGCUGAGGCUCGAAAGCGUGGGGAGCAAACAGGAUUAGAUACCCCGGUAGUCCAA